AUUGAACGCUGGCGGCAGGCCUAACACAUGCAAGUCGAGCGGUAACACAGGGAGCUUGCUCCUGGGUGACGAGCGGCGGACGGGUGAGUAAUGUCUGGGAAACUGCCUGAUGGAGGGGGAUAACUACUGGAAACGGUAGCUAAUACCGCAUAACGUCGCAAGACCAAAGAGGGGGACCUUCGGGCCUCUUGCCAUCAGACGUGCCCAGAUGGGAUUAGCUAGUAGGUGGGGUAACGGCUCACCUAGGCGACGAUCCCUAGCUGGUCUGAGAGGAUGACCAGCCACACUGGAACUGAGACACGGUCCAGACUCCUACGGGAGGCAGCAGUGGGGAAUAUUGCACAAUGGGCGCAAGCCUGAUGCAGCCAUGCCGCGUGUAUGAAGAAGGCCUUCGGGUUGUAAAGUACUUUCAGCGGGGAGGAAGGUGUUGAGGUUAAUAACCUCAGCAAUUGACGUUACCCGCAGAAGAAGCACCGGCUAACUCCGUGCCAGCCGCCGCGGUAAAAC
rnacentral:rRNA from 1 species